rnacentral:rRNA from 1 species
CCCUUAGAUGUUCUGGGCCGCACACGCGCUACACUGAAGGAGGCAGCGUGUACUCCUGGAUCGAAAGAUUUGGGUAACCCGCGAAUCUCCUUCGUGCUAGGGAUUGGGGUUUGCAAUUAUCCUUCAUGAACGAGGAAUUCCCAGUAAGUGCAAGUCAUAAGCUUGCGCUGACUACGUCCCUGCCCUUUGUACACACCGCCCGUCGCUACUACCGAUUGAAUGAUUUAGUGAGGACUUCGGACUGGGACCGAUGCGGCUUUCGGGCUGCGUCGGUAUUCUGGAAAGAUGUCCAAACUGUAUCAUUUAGAGGAAGUAAANGUCGUAACA